rnacentral:rRNA from 1 species
CACGUAGGGUGCGAGCGUUGUCCGGAAUUAUUGGGCGUAAAGAGCUCGUAGGCGGUGUGUCGCGUCGGCCGUGAAAACCCGCAGCUUAACUGUGGGCUUGCGGUCGAUACGGGCAUCACUGGAGUUCGGCAGGGGAGACUGGAAUUCCUGGUGUAGCGGUGAAAUGCGCAGAUAUCAGGAGGAACACCGGUGGCGAAGGCGGGUCUCUGGGCCGAUACUGACGCUGAGGAGCGAAAGCGUGGGGAGCGAACAGG